rnacentral:tRNA from 1 species
GGGCCCGUGGUGUAGCUUGGCCUAGCAUCCCGGCCUUGGGAGCCGGAGACCCCGGUUCAAAAGAAUAGCUAAACUCUUCUGAAUUUCCGGGCGGGCCCACCA